GCAGCCGCGGUAAUACGGAAGAUGCGAGCGUUAUCCGGAUUUAUUGGGUUUAAAGGGAGCGUAGGCGGGCUGUUAAGUCAGCGGUAAAAUUUCCAGGCCCAACCUGGUCGUGCCGUUGAAACUGGCGGUCUUGAAUGCACACAAGGGAGAUGGAAUUCGUCGUGUAGCGGUGAAAUGCUUAGAUAUGACGAAGAACUCCGAUUGCGAAGGCAGUCUCCUGGGGUGUAAUUGACGCUGAGGCUCGAAAGUGCGGGUAUCAAACAGGAUUAGAUACCCC
rnacentral:rRNA from 1 species